rnacentral:rRNA from 1 species
GCAUAUCAAUAAGCGGAGGAAAAGAAACCAACAGGGAUUGCCCCAGUAACGGCGAGUGAAGCGGCAAAAGCUCAAAUUUGAAAUCCUGCGGGAAUUGUAAUUUGAAGGUUUCGUGGUCUGAGUCGGCCGCGCCCAAGUCCAUUGGAACAUGGCGCCUGGGAGGGUGAGAGCCCCGUAUGGCGCACGCCGACUCUUUGCACCGCGGCUCCGACGAGUCGAGUUGUUUGGGAAUGCAGCUCUAAGUGGGUGGUAAAUUCCAUCUAAAGCUAAAUAUUGGCGAGAGACCGAUAGCGAACAAGUACAGUGAUGGAAAGAUGAAAAGCACUUUGAAAAGAGAGUGAAACAGCACGUGAAAUUGUUGAAAGGGAAGGGCUUGCAAGCAGACACGGUUUUACCGGGCCAGCGUCGAAAAGGGGGGAGGAACAAGAACUCGAGAAUGUGGCGCGCACCUUCGGGCGCGCGUGUUAUAGCUCGUGUUGACGCCUCCAUCCCUUUUCGAGGCCUGCGAUUCUAGGACGCUGGCGUAAUGGUUGCAAGCCGCCCGUCUUGAACCACGGACC